AAAUAAUCGCAAAAAUCCAAACAUUUAUCUAUCCAACCAUAGGGUAGAUCAACAGCCACUCCUCCAAUACGAAAAUAAUUAUGCAUCAUUCGCAUACCGGUGGCAGCUUCGAAUAGGUCAUAUAUCAAUUCUCUUUCUCAAAAAAUAUAGAAGAAAGGGGUCUGUGCACCAAUAUCCUCCAUAAAAGGACCGAGUCAUAACAAAUGAGAAGUUAUCCGACUCAACUCCAACAUAAUGACUCUGAUAUAGCUAGCCCUUUUAGGUACUUGAAUAUUGCC
rnacentral:lncRNA from 1 species